rnacentral:lncRNA from 1 species
UACAAUAGGCCGUGUCUAUUCUAUAACUGGUCUAAGGCUAAAACAAUGUUUUUUUCACUUUGAAUCGUGACUUGAUGGACGCUCUAAGUGUUUAGGUAUAAUUAAUUUUUGUUGAUACCGGUUGCUGAAGGUUCUUGAAAGCUUUAUCGCAGAAUCAACGUUCUAAAUCGUGCAAUUUAUGGAAUCAAGCAACCCAUUCAACAAUUUGUCUUCCAGAACACUCAUGAUAGUUGAAAUGUAAUUGCAUACAGAUUGUUCAUCUCCAAUUACUGCUGAUCAACUGAAAAUUGCUAAAGAAGUAGAGAAAGUAUUGUCAAAAACAUCACCUGGAACUAAGAUGGUCGAUUCAUUUGAGAUAGAUGAAACCGAAAUUGAAACAGAAUCAGAAAAGUUGGGAAAUAAGAAGACUACUCACACAGGUAGAAAGAAGAAAAGCAGAAUUGAUCUUGAAGAAGAAAACAAGAAGCUUAAAGAGCAGAUAGCUGAACUGCAAAACAUCCAAAAUUCUGAUCAGCCAAGUUCUACUUGUGAUGAUGAUACAGGAAUAUCAGAGAUCAAAGAAAAAAUGAAUCGAUGAGAUAGUAUAAAAAAUACUUUUGUCCAUUCUGCCAUGAGCUUCAGCACCAUUUCUCAAGACAUCUUUUGAACAACCACAAACAGGAAGAUGAAUUCAGGAGGGGUUAGAAAAGAUUAUGUUUUAUCCUAUUUCUCCUAUUAAGGAGGGAGCAGAAUAGUUUUGCCCAUCAUAGCCUGCCACUGAGUUUGUAGCCUCAACAAAUGUGUCUUAAUGAGUUGGUGAAAAUGCAUCAUCAAGAUUAUUUAUGAAACAAUCAAUUUCUUUCAUUUUCGAUGCUACUUUCACCACCUGGCGAAGUUUGGUUCUUAUCAUGUUUUCAGAUGUUGUUCUUUAUUUCGAACACACAAGUAACUGCCAUAAUCAAGUAUGGUCUCAUCCUUCAAUAUGUGAUUAUACACCUCAUUGUGAUCCAUCCCUGGCAAAACUACUUUUUUCAACAUAGGAUGUAUUUUUUGUUUAUCUGCUCUUCAAUCACGAUGGCACUUGAUCUUAUUUGAAGGUCUUUUGGAACAAUUUUUCCCCCAGUACAAAGUUUAUAAUGACGCCACAACGUAGAUUUCGUGUAAAAAUUAUGGCUUCAUUGAUUUUUCACUGACAUCUUGUUUGCGACGACAAUAAGUUCACCUUUAUUCAAAUUGAAAUCGGUAUUGAAUAUUAGGGAGCCUCACCCUCUAAUUCUAGCUAUCAAAUCGUUACGUACUUUUGAAUUAGGUUCCAGGGAAGCAAGUUUGGUAAAGCAGUAAUUUUCAAGGUAAAAUAAUUUUUAUUUUCAUAACUUUAAAUUUAAAGAAUGAUUAACAUUGUGGCUUCAAACUCAGUUGCUUAAGGCUGUGCAACAGGCUUUUGGAAACUUUUUACUGGUGAUUUUUUUAAAGUUUUUCGAUUUGGAUACUAUUAAACUAUCAAAAUAAAAAGCCUUUCUGUGGAAACAUUUGUUUUCAUUAUUACUUUUUGAGAUAUGAGUGCCUAAAGUUUAAAUUUGUGGAACAGAUCAUGUCAAGUUUGGUAACAGAUAAAUCCAUUAAAUUUUUAUACAUUCUUCACGGUAUUGUUCAAUAUUAAUGGAGAAAUUUCUUUUGAAAAUUAUAAUUUUUGAUAGUUAUUUCAUUUUCUAAAAAUGACUCAAACAAAAAUUGUUAAAAUUCUCAAUUUCUUCAUUAAUUGAACAACAGCGUCGAGAAUUAAUGUUCAAGAUUUAAUGGAUCUAUAACCAAAUUUGAGAUAAUCUGUUCCGAAAAUUUAAAAUUUAGGCGCUCAUAUCUCAGAGUAAUAAUAAUAAAAAAAUGUCCUACAAAAAUCAAAAGUAUCUAAAAAUCUCAGUAUCCAAAUCAAAAAAUAUCACCAGUAAAAUGUUUCUAAAAAACCUGUUGCACACAGCCUAAUACAAACUUAUCUCGAUUCUAUUGCAGAAAAUAUCAAAAUAAAACCUUUGAUUAUGGAUACGUUAAUGUUAAUCCCUUCCAAAACCAACUUGGUCCAUCUUAGAAAAACUUUCUUCUAAUUUACUGACUAGAAGUAACAUUUUGUGUCACUAGUAGAAUUACCCUACCUAUAGUAGGUAGUAUUCAUUUAAUAAUUAUAUACUAUAAUGUUUAGUAUAAUGAAGAACAAAGUACCCUUUCAUUAUAUUUUUAUUAACAAGACAUGUUUUGGCUUAUAAUGCCAUUUUAAAGUGUCGAAAAGUAUUAGUUAAAGAAUAGUUUUUUUGUAUUAAUUCCAAGAACUUUCAACUUUCGAGAUUUGAUUCGAGUAAUUUUCAAAAUUGCUGAUUAAUGAAUUAUAUUGAAAAAUCUUCAGUACAUCUUAUGUACUAAUUAUAGUUUAUUGAACCAUGACGAACUAUGACUUCACUUGAGAUUUUUCACUUUAAUACUGACAUGCAAUCAUUAUUUUAAAUUCAAUAGGAAAUUUGCCUAUUUAUAGACUGGAGCUUAUCUGUUGAGGAUGGGUUCAAUUGAACUAGAAAAUUGAAUGAAAAAGACUAAGAAAUUGUCAAAAAACCACUGAUUUAUUGAUUUAUUUCAGUUUAUCAGAGAUUGACAAUGGUGUAAUAACCGAAACCGGUCUUUCUAAUUAUCAAUAAAUCAGUGGUUUUUUGACAAUUUCUUAGUCUUUUUCAUUCAAUAUGAAUAAUUAGCACAAUAUCAACUUGUCAACUACACAAAAAGUGAAACUAGAAAAUCCUCCAGUCUGUAAGUCGGAAAAUUUUCUCUUAAAUAAACAUUAUUACUACAUGUCAGUAUCGAAAUGAAAAAUUGUAAGUAAUGUAGUGAUUUUCUUUGUCAGAAAUUCAUGUUGAGUUAUGAUAAGAUUUUAGACUUUGUAAGACUAAGUCAAUAUCAUGGCUACUACUAUUAGUAGUCAAUUGUGCUUCUACAAGAAGAAUUAUCAUAGAUUGAAAUUUUUGUUUAUUUUAUUCGUGUUUUUUAGCAAAAAAUCAUUUUUUGAAAUUCAUGUUGAGUUAUGAUAAGAUUUUAGACUUUGUAAGACUAAGUCAAUAUCAUGGCUACUACUAUUAGUAGUCAAUUGUGCUUCUACAAGAAGAAUUAUCAUAGAUUGAAAUUUUUGUUUAUUUUAUUCGUGUUUUUUAGCAAAAAAUCAUUUUUUCGAAUUAAGUAAUAAUUUUAAUAUUAUCUGUUAGAUUUUAUUUUCUUUACAAUAUGUUACUGAACUUUUAUGAUGAGCAUGUAAUUUAUUAUAAAUUACGAGAGGGAAAAGUUUUUCUAUUGUGUGAGGUAGGCUGUAUAUGAAACAGCAACCUGCAUACUAGAUAAUGAUUAUGUACAUUACAAUAGAUUAUUAAUUAACUUCUCACUUCUUUGUAUGGCAUUCUGUGCAACUGCUUCUUUAAAAUAACAUUUCAUAAGUAAUUUAUGUAAUUUUUCAAGACUUUUAUGGGAUAACAAAAUCUUUUUCGUAGCAUUAUAUUUUAUCAAAUCAAAUCCAGUAUUAUCAUUCUUGUCUCAAUAAUUUAUUGAAUUUUUAUGCUGGACAUGAGUCAUGAAUGUAGCAAUAAAUAUGUAGCCAUGUAGUAGUGUUUGAUCUAGCAAUUGAAGUGACGUUCAGAUCGACCACCCUCCGCGCAUGUGCAAUAAUAAGGCUAGUAGUUUUAUUUUAACAGUACAAAGUAAUCAUAAAAGUGCGUACAGAUAUACGCGCCGCGAACAUGAGCGAUUCACUUUUAAUCUGCUGAUGCCAAGCUUUUUAUAUCUGUAUCUUACCGUUUCUGUAAAAAUACAGAUAUAGUCAGCUGAUUAAAAGUGAAUUGCUCAUGUUCGCACCUUCAUUGAAAAGCAUGCAAUCCAGAGGUGAACUCGAAGUCCAUCUAGCGAUCCAUCUAAUUGCUGGGCAUUUGAUUACAAAAAUCUCUUUUAAAACAGCUGUCUGUGUAUGAAUGUUUGUUGCACAAUAAAGCUGGAUUCCCAGACAACAGUAAUAGUGAACAGUGAAAAUAUAAUUCCCAUUAGUUCAAAUAGAAUUAUUCAUAUGGCCUGAGUGUGAAUAGUUCAAUUAGAACUCGUGGGAAUAAUAUUUUCACUGUAGUGUGGGAAUCCAGCUUAAUAAGGAUCUCUACAAGCAGUACGACAGCAAUCAUCCAUACACGGGCAGUAAACUGUCUCAGCUGUUUGAAAAAUGUUUUAAACUUGAAUUUUUGACUAUUAUAAUAUAUUGUGUAAAACGCAGUUAAUAGCUUCAUUACGCAUGCGCAACAGGUUGUCGGCGGUGGCUGGUUUCUACCAAGAUCCGAACGCCACCUUCAAGUAAAAUAUUAUUUCCUUCCAUUAUGUCAUGACCUGACUAAGUCAGGUAGGCCUGUAUUGAACUGCUACUUCUAAAAUGAAUUUAAUGAUGAAACUUUAAAUAAGAUUAAUUGAAUGAUCAUUUAAUAAGAUUAAUUCAAUAAUAUAUAUUAUAUAUACAUUAUAUUAUUGCAACUGCUACUCCAGAAUAACAUAAUUGUUUGUAUUCUUCACACAUUUAAAUCAUGUACAGUACUAUAAUACCAAUUUUAUGAAUUGUAAAUGUGUUAUAAUGAUCAAAUAUUGAUUCAUGAAGCCUUAGCCUAUAUCACUGUUUUGAGCAAUAAAGUGAACAAUUAUAAACUCA